rnacentral:rRNA from 1 species
GACGAACGCUGGCGGCGCGCUUAACACAUGCAAGUCGAACGGAAAGGCCUGCUUUCCCUUGUGGAUUGCGGGUACUCGAGUGGCGAACGGGUGAGUAACACGUGAGUGAUCUGCCCCCAACUUGGGUAUAAGCCUGGGAAACUGGGUCUAAUUCCCGAUAGGACUGCAGGGUGGUGCCGUUGGUGGAAAACGUUUUUCUAUUGUUUGGGGAUGGGCUCGCGGCCUAUCAGCUUGUUGGUGGGGUAAUGGCCUACCAAGGCGGCGACGGGUAGCCGGCCUGAGAGGGUGGACGGCCACAUUGGGACUGAGAUACGGCCCAGACUCCUACGGGAGGCAGCAGUGGGGAAUAUUGCACAAUGGGCGGAAGCCUGAUGCAGCGACGCCGCGUGGGGGAUGACGGCCUUCGGGUUGUAAACUCCUUUCGACCGCGAGGAAGCCACCUGGUUGGAAGGGUGGUGACGGUAGUGGUAGAAGAAGCACCGGCUAACUACGUG